rnacentral:rRNA from 1 species
AGAACGAACGCUGGCGGCAUGCCUAAUACAUGCAAGUCGAACGAACACUUCGGAGUUAGUGGCGCACGGGUGCGUAACGCGUGGGAAUCUGCCCCUUGGUUCGGAAUAACAGUUGGAAACGACUGCUAAUACCGGAUGAUGACGAAAGUCCAAAGAUUUAUCGCCAAGGGAUGAGCCCGCGUAGGAUUAGCUAGUUGGUGAGGUAAAGGCUCACCAAGGCAACGAUCCUUAGCUGGUCUGAGAGGAUGAUCAGCCACACUGGGACUGAGACACGGCCCAGACUCCUACGGGAGCAGCAGUAGGGAAUAUGGACAAUGGGCGAAAGCCUGAUCCAGCAAUGCCGCGUGAGUGAUGAAGGCCUUAGGUGUAAAGCUCUUUACCGAGAUGAUAAUGACAGUAUCGGAGAAUAAGCCCCGGAUAACUCCGUGCCAGCAGCCGAC